CCAGAGAACUUAGCAGAGAUGCUUUUGGUGCCUUCGGGAACUCUGAGACAGGUGCUGCAUGGCUGUCGUCAGCUCGUGUUGUGAAAUGUUGGGUUAAGUCCCGCAACGAGCGCAACCCUUAUCCUUUGUUGCCAGCGGCUCGGCCGGGAACUCAAAGGAGACUGCCGGUGAUAAACCGGAGGAAGGUGGGGAUGACGUCAAGUCAUCAUGGCCCUUACGGCCAGGGCUACACACGUGCUACAAUGGCGCAUACAAAGAGAAGCGACCUCGCGAGAGCAAGCGGACCUCAUAAAGUGCGUCGUAGUCCGGAUUGGAGUCUGCAACUCGACUCCAUGAAGUCGGAAUCGCUAGUAAUCGUAGAUCAGAAUGCUACGGUGAAUACGUUCCCGGGCCUUGUACACACCGCCCGUCACACCAUGGGAGUGGGUUGCAAAAGAAGUAGGUAGCUUAACCUUCGGGAGGGCGCUUACCACUUUGUGAUUCAUGACUGGGGUGAAGUCGUAACAAGGUAGGCGUAGCGAG
rnacentral:rRNA from 1 species